rnacentral:lncRNA from 1 species
CUCGAGAAGGAGCUCAAAUGUCCCUGCAGCCUGCUUCUGCGGAUGCCCCAAGAGGAUGGUCCUGGACGGCAGUGAUGGGGGCCACAAGCCUCUGCUCCAUGGAACCUCUUCUGGGGAUGGUUGGGACGGAGCAUCAAACAGUAGUCUCCAGGCUCCUCUUCAGUGACCUUAGAAUGAACUCUGGCU